GAUGAACGCUAGCGGCAGGCCUAAUACAUGCAAGUCGAACGGUGUCUUCGGACAUAGUGGCGCACGGGUGCGUAACACGUAUGCAACCUACCUUACAUUGGGGGAUAGCCUUUCGAAAGGGAGAUUAAUACCGCAUAAGACAGUAGCUGGGCAUCCAGCAGCUGUUAAAGAUUUAUCGAUGUAUGCUGGGCAUGCGUCCAAUUAGCUAGUUGGUGAGGUAACGGCUCACCAAGGCAAUGAUUGGUAGGGGAACUGAGAGGUCAAUCCCCCACACUGGCACUGAGAUACGGGCCAGACUCCUACGGGAGGCAGCAGUAGGGAAUAUUGGGCAAUGGACGCAAGUCUGACCCAGCCAUGCCGCGUGCAGGAUGAAGGCGUUAUGCGUUGCAAACUGCUUUUAUACAGGAAGAAACGACUCUUGCGAGAGGCAUUGACGGUACUGUAUGAAUAAGCACCGGCUAACUCCGUGCCAGCAGCCGCCGUAACAC
rnacentral:rRNA from 1 species